AAUAUCAAAGGUGAGCCAGUACAGGAUGGACCCGCGUCUGAUUAGCUAGUUGGUAAGGUAACGGCUUACCAAGGCGACGAUCAGUAGCCGACCUGAGAGGGUGAUCGGCCACAUUGGAACUGAGACACGGUCCAAACUCCUACGGGAGGCAGCAGGGGGGAAUAUUGCACAAUGGGCGAAAGCCUGAUGCAGCAACGCCGCGUGAGUGAUGAAGGCCUUCGGGUCGUAAAACUCUGUCCUCAAGGAAGAUAAUGACGGUACUUGAGGAGGAAGCCCCGGCUAACUACGUGCCAGCAGCCGCGGUAAUACGUAGGGGGCUAGCGUUAUCCGGAUUUACUGGGCGUAAAGGGUGCGUAGGCGGUCUUUCAAGUCAGGAGUGAAAGGCUACG
rnacentral:rRNA from 1 species